GCCCCGGUAGCUCAGGGGAUAGAGCGACGGCCUCCUAAGCCGUAGGUCCCAGGUUCGAAUCCUGGUCGGGGCA
rnacentral:tRNA from 1 species